rnacentral:rRNA from 1 species
GACGAACGCUGGCGGCGUGCUUAACACAUGCAAGUCGAACGGAAAGGCCCUGCUUUUGUGGGGUGCUCGAGUGGCGAACGGGUGAGUAACACGUGAGUAACCUGCCCUUGACUUUGGGAUAAUUUCAGGAAACUGGGGCUAAUACCGGAUAGGAGCUCCUGCUGCAUGGUGGGGGUUGGAAAGUUUCGGCGGUUGGGGAUGGACUCGCGGCUUAUCAGCUUGUUGGUGGGGUAGUGGCUUACCAAGGCUUUGACGGGUAGCCGGCCUGAGAGGGUGACCGGCCACAUUGGGACUGAGAUACGGCCCAGACUCCUACGGGAGGCAGCAGUGGGGAAUAUUGCACAAUGGGCGGAAGCCUGAUGCAGCAACGCCGCGUGCGGGAUGACGGCCUUCGGGUUGUAAACCGCUUUCGCCUGUGACGAAGCGUGAGUGACGGUAAUGGGUAAAGAAGCACCGGCUAACUACGUGCCAGCAGCCGCGGUGAUACGUAGGGUGCGAGCGUUGUCCGGAUUUAUUGGGCGUAAAGGGCUCGUAGGGGGUUGAUCGCGUCGGAAGUGUAAUCUUGGGGCUUAACCCUGAGCGUGCUUUCGAUACGGGUUGACUUGAGGAAGGUAGGGGAGAAUGGAAUUCCUGGUGGAGCGGUGGAAUGCGCAGAUAUCAGGAGGAACACCAGUGGCGAAGGCGGUUCUCUGGGCCUUUCCUGACGCUGAGGAGCGAAAGCGUGGGGAGCGAACAGGCUUAGAUACCCUGGUAGUCCACGCUGUAAACGGUGGGUACUAGGUGUGGGGUCCAUUCCACGGGUUCCGUGCCGUAGCUAACGCUUUAAGUACCCCGCCUGGGGAGUACGGCCGCAAGGCUAAAACUCAAAGGAAUUGACGGGGCCCCGCACAAGCGGCGGAGCAUGCGGAUUAAUUCGAUGCAACGCGUAGAACCUUACCUGGGUUUGACAUGGAUCGGGAGUGCUCAGAGAUGGGUGUGCCUCUUUUGGGGUCGGUUCACAGGUGGUGCAUGGCUGUCGUCAGCUCGUGUCGUGAGAUGUUGGGUUAAGUCCCGCAACGAGCGCAACCCUUGUUCACUGUUGCCAGCACGUUAUGGUGGGGACUCAGUGGAGACCGCCGGGGUCAACUCGGAGGAAGGUGGGGAUGACGUCAAGUCAUCAUGCCCCUUAUGUCCAGGGCUUCACGCAUGCUACAAUGGCUGGUACAGAGAGUGGCGAGCCUGUGAGGGUGAGCGAAUCUCGGAAAGCCGGUCUCAGUUCGGAUUGGGGUCUGCAACUCGACCUCAUGAAGUCGGAGUCGCUAGUAAUCGCAGAUCAGCAACGCUGCGGUGAAUACGUUCCCGGG